UGAACUGAAAUCGUUAGACAAAUAUGUCUUAUAUUCCGUGAAGACGAUAUCAUACAAGAUCAAAGUUUUUUUAAUACAUAAUAUUGAUGAAAUUCAAACACUUACCAUGUUUACUCGUGGGUUUUUUCGGAUAGCAACCGUAAAAGUUUCGGAUAGCAACAGUGGACGCGUUUUUUUUCGAAUAGCAACCGUCAACGUACUACACCGUG
rnacentral:lncRNA from 1 species